ACUCCUACGGGAGGCAGCAGUAGGGAAUCUUCGGCAAUGGACGAAAGUCUGACCGAGCAACGCCGCGUGAGUGAAGAAGGUUUUCGGAUCGUAAAACUCUGUUGUUAGAGAAGAACAAGGACGUUAGUAACUGAACGUCCCCNGACGGU
rnacentral:rRNA from 1 species